rnacentral:rRNA from 1 species
UACGUAGGGGGGCAAGCGUUGUCCGGAAUUAUUGGGCGUAAAGAGCGCGUAGGCGGUCCGAUAAGUCGGCUGUGAAAGUCCAGGGCUCAACCCUGGAAAGCCGGCCGAUACUGUCGGACUAGAGUCCGGAAGAGGCGAGUGGAAUUCCCGGUGUAGCGGUGAAAUGCGUAGAUAUCUGGAGGAACACCGGUGGCGAAGGCGGCAUCCUGGACCAACACUGACGCUGAGGAGCGAAAGCCAGGGAGCAAAGCGGG